CGAGAGCCGGGAACGUAUUCACCGUGGCAUUCUGAUCCGCGAUUACUAGCGAUUCCGACUUCAUGGAGUCGAGUUGCAGACUCCAAUCCGGACUACGAUCGCACUUUUUGGGAUUCGCUCCACYUUCGCAAGUUGGCUGCCCUCUGUAUGCGACCAUUGUAGCACGUGUGUAGCCCUAUUCUCGUAAGGGCCAUGAUGACUUGACGUCGUCCCCACCUUCCUCCGGUUUAUCACCGGCAGUCUCCCUGGAGUKCCCGACAUUACUCGCUGGCAAACAAGGACAAGGGUUGCGCUCGUUGCGGGACUUAACCCAACAUUUCACAACACGAGCUGACGACAGCCAUGCAGCACCUGUCUCAGAUGUUCCCGAAGGCACCAAUCCAUCUCUGGAAAGUUCUCUGGAUGUCAAGCGUAGGUAAGGUUCUUCGCGUUGCAUCGAAUUAAACCACAUGCUCCACCGCUUGUGCGGGCCCCCGUCAAUUCAUUUGAGUUUUAAUCUUGCGACCGUACUCCCCAGGCGGUCUACUUAACGCGUUAGCUCCGAAAGCCACGAGCUCAAGGCUCACAACCUCCAAGUAUGACAUCGUUUACGGCGUGGACUACCAGGGUAUCUAAUCCUGGUUUGCUUCCCCCAACGCUUUUCGCAUCUGAGUGUCAAGGUAUCUGUCCAGGGGGCCGCCUUCGCCACCGGUAUUCCUUCAGAUCUCUACGCAUUUCACCGCUACACCUGAAAUUCUACCCCCCUCUAUUUUACUCUCCCGGUUGCCAGUUUCAAAUGCUAUUCCGAGGUUGAGCCCCGGGCUUUCACAUCUGACUUAAAACAAACCACCUGCAUGCGCGUUUACGCCCAGUAAUUCCGAUUAACGCUCGCACCCUCCGUAUUACCGCGGCUGCUGGCACGGAGUUAGCCGGUGCUUCUUCUGUCGCUAACGUCAAACAAACGCUAUUAACUCUCUGCCUUCCUCACGACUGAAAGUGCUUUACAACCCGAAGGCCUUUCUUCACACACGCGGCAUGGCUUGCAUCAGGCUUUGCGCCCCAUUGUGCAAUAUUCCCCACUGCUGCCUCCCGUAGGAGUCUUGGGACCGUGUCUCAGUUUCCAGUGGUGGGCUGAUCAUCCCUCUCAGACCAGCUAGGGGAUCGUCUGCCUUGGUGAAGCCCUUAUCCUCACCUAACUAGCUAAUCCCACCUAGGCAUAUCCUGCACGCGAGAGGCCCGAAGGUCCCCCUCUU
rnacentral:rRNA from 1 species